UUGAAAAAAAUGUUUAAUUUAUUAUCAGCUCAAAAAUAAGCUUAGAUUUUCAUUCAGGCAGAUAUUUCGCUACCCUGCCUGCAGCAUUAGGACCCUCUUAAAUAUCCUUCCCUGCACGCUGUGCGAUCCUUUCCAUGCUGAGGAUGCCACGGUGCCUCAGAUCAUAUCUACUCGAACUGAACAAUGAUGUUUUGGGAAACCAAAUUUGGAAGAACGUGCCGAAGCUGCAGCAGUGUCCCAAUUGGGUGCGAGGAACAGACAUUGCCAGGUAGCUGAUGUCUACAGCUGACAACCAAUGGAUUGGGUGGGAGGAAGAGAUGUUUCCAGGUACUAGCUGAAGUCAACCAGCCAAUAGCUGACAACCAAUGGGUUGGAUUCCAGCAGAAUGGUUCAUCGUGACAGUCGAUGACUACAGGGUUUUCAGCGAUGGGUUUGAAGCCAGUAUGGAUGUUGUCUCCAGCCCAUGAAGCUACAUAAGGUUGACGUGAUGCCAGAAUUAUGUGCCAACGAUGGGCAUAUUCCUCUGAAUGCACAGACCUGUCACUCUGAUGGAGGUUUAUGCCAUGGCAGAAGAGUUGUGGUGACCGGUUUGGAGCACAACGCUGAGCUGUCAAGCUGUGUAGUACACUUGUUUGUGCCACUGUAUAUCAUUCUCAGAACAGUUUGAUUAAGUAACUGCUUGUUUUUGACUAAUAAAAUCACUUACAGCUCAA